UACGUAGGUGGCAAGCGUUGUCCGGAUUUACUGGGCUAAAGAGCGCGCAGGCGGUCGGAUAAGUCGAAUGUGAAAGCCCCCGGCUCAACUGGGGAGGGUCAUUCGAUACUGUUCGACUCGAAGGCAGGAGAGGGAAGUGGAAUUCCCCGGUGUAGUGGUGAAAUGCGUAGAUAUCGGUAGGGAACACCAGUGGCGAAGGCGGUCUCCUGGGGCAUU
rnacentral:rRNA from 1 species